rnacentral:lncRNA from 1 species
AGAAAGGAGGCAGGGAAGUGGCAAACUGUAGACUUCACUGCUGGGCUGAGGAUGGCCAUCCUGCCCCUCACUCAUUGGUUCCCUAAUCCUUCUCACCUUUCAUCUUUGUUCCAGGAUUUUCCCAACAGCCAAAAUCUAACAUCCAUAAAAUAUCAAGGUCUUCUGAAUCAGCACACCAAUCAGCCCAAGCAAAAAAGAAUGACAUAGAGCCUUUAUUAAACUGGUUCUGAGGUAUGUGGGACUAGCCUGGCUGGCUGACCAGGCUUCUUGAGCCCCACAGGCCUCUUUCACAGAAAGGGAGUUUGGAUCAACAAGACCAUGUACAAAAGGGGGAUAAUAUACCUACGUGAGGAGCCAAGUUUCCAUGUUGAUGGUAAAUGGAAAAACUUUUGAGUCAGAGCUGAGCUCUGGGACAAAAAGGGAAAAGAAGAGGGAUGAAGGGAAGGGGCCCAAUUCCUCUUGACUGAUUCUAAAGCUCAUAGGGGGAUUCCAACUCACAGCUAGCCCUCUGUACUAAGGAACCAGACGAAUCUUGACCU